GAUGAAGAACGUAGCGAAAUGCGAUAAGUAAUGUGAAUUGCAGAAUUCAGUGUAUCAUCGAAUCUUUGAACGCACAUUGCGCCCCCUGGUAUUCCGGGGGGCAUGCCUGUUCGAGCGUCAUUUCACCACUCAAGCCUCGCUUGGUAUUGGGCAACGCGGUCCGCCGCGUGCCUCAAAUCGACCGGCUGGGUCUUCUGUCCCCUAAGCGUUGUGGAAACUAUUCGCUAAAGGGUGUUCAGGAGGCUACGCCGUAAAACAACCCCAUUUCUAAGGUUGACCUCGGAUCAGGUAGGGAUACCCGCUGAACUUAAGCAUAUCAAUAAGCGGAGGA
rnacentral:misc_RNA from 1 species